UUCAUCAUUCAGAAAUAGGUGGUGCUACAGAUUCAACUACAAAAAAUAUGUCGACCAACAGUAUUACCAUCUCACCAUAUACUACACUGGGGACAGCACAAAACAACAUCAGUUUAACUAUAAAUAUUAAUGUUGGUCAACCCAUUGAACGAAAUAAUCAAACUGCAAGUAGAGAUUUUAAUCAAAAUGAAAAUGGUCGUUUCAUAUGGAAGUCUUCAGAUCCCGGAGAUCCACGCAAUAUGGACAUUGAACUACCAAAUGAAGACUUUGGAAAACAGGAAACAAAUAAGUGAAGAUGGACGUCAUGGCUUGUGUCAAUUUUCCUAUGAACAUAUUCCUUAAAUUUCAGAUACUUGCCACUGUACGUAAAACAAACAACAAUCGAUCAAUCGUGCAUAUUAAAAACACAUUGGUUAAACUGUAUUUGUUUCUCUCCUUUGAUUAACUAUUUGUCUCUAACUGUAACUGAUACUAAUUUAUGGCCAAACUAAAUAAAUGUAUAUGUAUGACA